rfam:Brachypodium distachyon strain Bd21 chromosome 4, whole genome shotgun sequence.
CAACUACUCCCUCCGUCUCACAUUAAGUGUCUCAAAUUUGUCCAAAUAUAGAUGUAUCUAUAUCUAAAAUGCGUCUAAAUACAUGUAAUAUUUCGACACUUAAUAUGAGACGAAGGGAGUAAGAU